CUGCAGUCGAGAAUCAUUCGCAAUGGGCGAAAGCCUGACGAUGCGACGCCGUGUGUGUGAUGAAGGCCUUCGGGUCGUAAAGCACUUUCGCUUGGGAACAAGAGAGGUCGGAUAAUACCCGGCUAAUUUGAGGGUACCAGGUAAAGAAGCACCGGCUAACUCCA
rnacentral:rRNA from 1 species